GAGAAAGGAAAAAGACAGGUUUUUGCAUAAAAAUUGCAAAACAUAGAUUUGAAUGGAGAUCUAUCCUCUGAAUAUUUACUAUGUCUAGGGGGAAAAGGGCUUACCAAGUCCAGAAAAGUAAACAGGAAUGCAAGUUGGACUUUUUAUUUGUCUUAGCUAAUUCAAGCUCCAGGGAAAUGAACGUGGUUAAUAAUGUGGAAAUUGGCUGUAAAAGAGGUUAGGACAAAAAUAAAAGGAUGGUGACCCAAUCUGUGUCCAAGUACACAGUCAGAAAAUGGCUCAAGCUUCCCCUUUCUGGGCUUUGAAACCAUCGACAUCUAGCCCCUACCGGCAGUUCACGUAAACCUCUCAGAAGUAACUGACAGUUGUUGAGGCUUUGAGAAGACUUCUGAUGCUUUGGGAAAUAAUUCCCUUGACUUAGGGUGACUGCUUUUCUGAGCUUUUCACUCUUACUCAGUAACUUAAGUUAGGAGGAGAGAAUUUUGAGAAGUGAUUUAAAUGGGAAUGCAAAUGAUAAUCAUGGAAGCCAGGAACAUAGAGUACCAAUUACUAUUGGCUCGAAAUUACAAAAAGCCAAAAUGUUUUCUCAGUGAACAUGCUAACAUAAUGUGUCAAAGUAAAUGUCUUGUUAAAUGUCAAACAAGAAUAAUCAGAAAACGUUACUCUUUUUCCAUUUUAUUAUUAAUAGGCCCAAUUUGUGAUAAUUAUCCGUAAAUGCUGGAAGAAGAGAGGAUUAGCAUGUGCUCCUCAAAGGGACUAAACGACACUGGGUUCUUCUUGAGGUGUCAAGUUCCUUUAAAGUGAAGCUACAGUGACGCAUUUAGUGUGGAGCAGCCAUAGGCAGAGAUUUCCUUAUAUACGACCUCCUUAAACUCUUAGCUGUUGAAUAGCAGAGGUAGGAGUGUUUAUGUAAUUGAGUUAUUCUUAUUGGGCUGAGAAAACCUACACUUGUUUGAACUGCUUUCUGGGAAGAGAGAAGGGGAGGGAAGCCCCUGUCCGCUGGAAACUAAAGGAACAGAGCAAAGGCAUUAUUCUAGUGCCUCGGGAUGUUCUGUAUUCCAUCUAAUAGUACACUAACAAAAAGAUAAGUUCCUGAGAACAAUUCUGAUUUUGUAGUUCAGUUUAGUUACCUGGUGAUGAAGAACUGGAAUAAAUGUGAGGAACAAACUAUUGGGACAAAAUAGCAGAGAGCAGAGAGUUCAGAAAUGAGGACAUUUGCGCUUGUUUCCUUGCUGGGCUUGCAUGUGGAGUGACUAUGCCUUUUUCACCUUCUGAUUGGUUGGAUUCCAAUUAAAUGGUGGUGACUAUCUUAACCCCCGAAUCAAGCACUGAAAGACUUUCGAGAUGGCCUUUCAAAAGAGUGUUUGAGGGAACUGUAAUGCUGGCUGUACUGACCUGCAGAAGAUGGUGCAACUGGGUCUGAAAGGUGAACACUGCUGCCUCCGGACCGCUGUCAAAGCAAGAAUAUCACUGUGAAGCAGGCUGAAAGAAAAGCUCUAAAGGGAAAGCUAAGACAUUUUAAUGAGGACUAUGCUUCUUUCUGCUAUAAGAUGGUGGUUUUAAAGUUUAAAGGGACCUGCGUUGCUCUGUGAUUCUGUGCUGGGAAGCCAAGCUCACCACACCUCUUUUGGGUUACAGGGAUACUCACUCCCGUACUCUGAGCCACAGGGAGAGCUGUGCAGGCAGCCACUGCUGAAACAGGAGGCAGUAUUAAUUUUGAAAAUGAUCCAUGCUGUAAUGUCAUGAACCAGGAAGCUGGAAUCCUUUAGCAGUUCUUUAUGCAAAUAUUUGGCUGCAGCUUGAGCUGAAGGACUUGGAAAGAGUGGGUAUUAAAAAAUCUGCCUCAUUGUAGAGCUUUCCUUAACCCCAUUCCUCCCCCAGAUUGGCCUGUUUGUCUGCCUCCUCCCCCUGUUAUCUCCCUGAGAUGUGUUUACAUUAUCCUACUUGAUAUUAUCUUUCUAGUCAUGGGUUCACUUUCUACUUUGCUCCAAUAACACAAAGAAAGGCACCUCUCUCUUAGAUUUCAAACAGCACGAAAAUUCACAAUCUACAAUUUAUAAAAAAAAUACAUCAAGCCUGUUUAAAAAAUUAAUGCUUUAAAAAAAGAAAGGUAAAUGAUAUCUUUUGAUAAUGACUAACUCAAGUUUCCUUUUACCCUAAAGGCAAGUGUGUGUGUGUGUGUGUGUGUGUGUGUGUGUGUGUGUGUAUGUGUUUGCAAAUUGAUCUGGCUGAAAUAAGUUUUUUAAAAUCAAGUGUUUCAAUCUGGCAUAUACACAGUUUCUCUGGCACUGCUUGAAGAAUAUUUGAAUUCUUCACUGAAUAUCUGUCUCAACCUAUAACUUCCAUUCAUGAUUGCCUUCUUAAAAUUUCAAUUGUGGAUACCACUCUGACUUUAUAACAAAUUAAGAUAGAUUUCUUGCUGCUUUGUAGUAUUUGAUACAAUUAAUUCUCUCCUUGGCUUAAAGUUAUCCAGAGGCAUCCUUAAACAAUUGAACAAAUUGGAGAUCAUCUCUGUUAUACCGGAAAGGUCUACAAAGUGGGCAUAAGUCAUCCCCUCGCACCUGCUACCCUUGCUUACUAAGUACGCUCUCACAGCUUCCUUAGAAUCCCAGAUCCUUCCAAUGGCUUCCAGUGAGGGACUUUACAUUUGGCUCUUGUAAUUAAAUUAUAUGCAUGUUA